rnacentral:lncRNA from 1 species
AUGAUCCCCAGGGCUGAUGAGCACAGGGAUGGCACUGGAGAAGGGCACUGGGGGCACUGGGGGCACUGGGGGCAGCCCUGCCCAGGGCUGAUGAGCACAGGGAUGGCACUGGGGGCACUGGGGGCAGCCCUGCCCAGGGCUGAUGAGCACAGGGAUGGCACUGGAGCAGGGCACUGGGGGCACUGGGGGCAGCCCUGCCCAGGGCUGAUGGUGAAGCUGCCGGCUGGCCCUGCCCAGGGCUGGUCCCGCAGUGCCACUGCUCUGUGGUGUUCCCCAGCUCCAGCUCCUCCUGGACACGUGUCCUCCUCGGGGUGCUGGCCACCCACAGGAAGGGGAGGUGGCCGGGGCCCUGGCCAGGCUGGGGGGAUGUUGUGUUCCCUGCCAGGAGCUGCUGGGAUUUGCUUUUGGCUCAGCCAGCCUCUCCAGCAGCCGUCUAUUGGCGUGUGGCGGAGGAGCUCGCAGGGCUGAGGUGGAUGCUCAUGGCUUUUGGUCUGCUCAGACACUCCCCAGACAUGAAAUGUCAGAGGCACCCUGUGGGAAUCUGGGCUCCCUGUGUCCCCAGGCAUCCAGCACUGGGAUGCUCUGUCUGUCACCACAAGGCUGCUGGGGACAGAUCAUGUCCCUGUAGCUCACAGUCAUCUUGGUGCCUUCCCAGGGAUGAACUUGCCCGGAAAUCUCAGCAUUGAAGCAGCUCUUCCUAAAGCUUGGCCUAAGUGAUGUGCACGGCCAGGAGCACUGAGCCCCUUCCUCUGAGCCCAGGUGUGGUCACUGCUCACUGUCACUCAGGGAUGGUCCCUGGGUGUCCCCUGGCUGUGGCAGCAGAGCCUCUGUGCCUGCCAUGGCUCUCUCUGCCUUUGCCUUCUGCUGCCCUCAGCAGCAAACCCUCCAUGGGCUCUUCUCAGAGGGGUCAAAACUCUCGGAUGUUGUUGUUUACUGCAGGGCUUUCCCUGCUGGAAGAGGGAAGAAGCACUGGCUUUUCCCAGGGCAGGGCUGCAGCUGAGUACAAGGGUGAGAUUCCCCUGGCUGCCCCCAGGGAAUUCUGACACUGAAGCUGCCACCAGCAUCCCCCACCCCAGAGCUGCCCCAUGGCCAGGAUGGAGGGGUUUGCAGACCCCACAGUGGAUUCUGGGGAUUGGGGAACCCUCACUCUGGAGCUUGGCUCAGCCGUGGGACCGGGCAGACGCCUCAGGGAGAGCUCCCAUUUCCUCCUUGCAGAUAUUUUUUUAUUGUUAUUAUCAUUUUGGUUGUUUCUUGAGGGGAAGCUGCAGCUGAGGAAAUAAGCAGUGCAUUCCUCCAGUCCCAGGAACUGCCUUGUUCCCAAGUGGAAAAUUCAUCCCUUUUGGAGGCUGCCCUGAUGGAUUGGCAAAGGCAAAGGAUGAGGAGGGGAUGAGCCACAGCAGCCUUAGGCAGUGGAGACCUUUGUCGUUCAUGCAGGGGAUGGCCUGGCUCUGGGAAUCAGAGGAAACAGCCUCAAGUUGAGCCAGGGAAGGCGUAGCUUUGAUAUUAGGAAGAAUUUCCUCAUGGAGAGGGUGGUCAGGCAUGGGAACAGCUGCUCAGGGAGUGAUAGAAUCACCAUCCCUGGGGAUGUCCCAGUGAGGAUGUGGCACCUGGGGACAGGAGUUAGUGCUGGCUGGGGCAGUGCUGGAAUCACCAUCCCUGGGAAUGUCCCAGUGAGGAUGUGGCACCUGGGGACAGGAGUUAGUGCUGGCUGGGGCAGUGCUGGAAUCACCAUCCCUGGGAAUGUCCCAGUGAGGAUGUGGCACCUGGGGACAGGAGGGGGGGGGGGGGGGGGGGGGGGGGGGGGGGGGGGGGGGGGGGGGGGGGGGGGGGGGGGGGGGGGGGGGGGGGGGGGGGGGGGGGGGGGGGGGGGGGGGGGGGGGGGGGG